rnacentral:rRNA from 1 species
GUAAGGGCGCGUAGGCGGCCUAACAAGUCAGAUGUGAAAGUCCGGGGCUCAACCCCGGAAGUGCAUUUGAAACUGAUGUGCUUGAGUAUCGGAGAGGAAAGUGGAAUUCCCGGUGUAGAGGUGAAAUUCGUAGAUAUCGGGAGGAACACCUGAGGCGAAGGCGACUUUCUGGACCAAUACUGACGCUGAGGCGCGAAAGCGUGGGGAGCAAAGGGGAUUAGAUACCCUGGUAGUCCACAGCUGUAAACGAGGUACAUUAGAGGUUGGGGGAUUUGACCCCGUUGUGGCCCAAGUUAACGCAUUAAUGGUCCCGCCGGGGGAGUACAGCCCCAAGAUUAAAACUCAAAGAAUUUGACGGGGGCCCCCCAAACCGGGGAAGAUGGUGGUUUAAUUCAAUGCAACCCGAAAAACCUAACCUGGUCUUGACUUCCCAAGAACCUUUUGAAAAAAAGAAGGGGCCUUCAUUGAAAUAAGCUCCAGGACCUGUGCUGCUUGGCUGUCGUCGGGUCGUGUCGUGUGAGGUUGAGUUCAGUCCCGAGACGAGCCCCUCUCUUUACUUUACUUGCUAUCAUUGAGGACUCUACUCUAACUGGACUGCUCCACGCGAAGGAGAGGAGGGAUGACAUGACGUCCUGUUGUCCUGGACUUC